GGCCUAGUGGUGGAAUGAAAUCACGCCCAUCUUGUAGGAUCUGCGGUGUGUAGUGCUUCCAAGCGUGGGAGUCCCCUGUUCAAACCGGGGCUGGGUCA